AAGCCAGACUCCUACGGGAGGCAGCAGUGAGGAAUAUUGGUCAAUGGCCGAGAGGCUGAACCAGCCAAGUCGCGUGAGGGAAGACGGCCCUACGGGUUGUAAACCUCUUUUGUCGGGGAGCAAAGAGAGUCACGUGUGACUCAUUGAGAGUACCCGAAGAAAAAGCAUCGGCUAACUCCGUGCCAGCAGCCGCGGUAAUACGGAGGAUGCGAGCGUUAUCCGGAUUUAUUGGGUUUAAAGGGUGCGUAGGCGGGCUUUUAAGUCAGCGGUCAAAUGUCGGGGCUCAACCCCGUCGAGCCGUUUGAACUGGCGCGCUUGAGUUCAGGCGAGGUAGGCGGAAUUCGUGGUGUAGCGGUGAAAUGCAUAGAUAUCACGAAGAACUCCGAUUGCGAAGGCAGCUUACCAGUCUGCGACUGACGCUCAGGCACGAAAGUGUGGGUAUCGAACAGGAUUAGAUACCCGGGUACG
rnacentral:rRNA from 1 species